rnacentral:rRNA from 1 species
CCCUUAGAUGUCCUGGGCCGCACGCGCGCUACACUGAUGCAUGCAACGAGUUUAUAACCUUGGCCUGAAAGGUCUGGGUAAUCUUUUGAACGUGCAUCGUGAUAGGGAUAGAUUAUUGCAAUUGUUAAUCUUGAACGAGGAAUUCCUAGUAAACGCGAGUCAUCAGCUCGCAUUGAUUACGUCCCUGCCCUUUGUACACACCGCCCGUCGCACCUACCGAUUGAAUGGUUCGGUGAAGAUCUCGGACUUCGAUAUUUCUUCUUUAUUGAGUUUAUAUUGUGGGAAGUUAUCUAAACCUCAUCAUUUAGAGGAAGGUGAAGUCGUAACA